UACGGAGGAUCCAAGCGUUAUCCGGAAUGAUUGGGCGUAAAGAGCUCGUAGGCGGUCUGUCGCGUCGGCUGUGAAAUCCCGAGGCUCAACCUCGGGUCUGCAGUCGAUACGAGCAAACUAGAGUGUUGCAGGGGAGACUGGAAUUCCUGGUGUAGCGGUGAAAUGCGCAGAUAUCAGGAGGAACACCGGUGGCGAAGGCGGGUCUCUGGGCAACAACUGACGCUGAGGAGCGAAAGCGUGGGGAGCGAACAGG
rnacentral:rRNA from 1 species